CACGGGGUUGCGAGCGUUGUCCGGAAUUACUAGGCGUAAAGGGCAGGCAGGCGGAUCCAUAAGUUUAUCGUUUAAGGCGUCGGCUUAACCGGCGUAGGGCGGUAGAUACUGUGGAUCUGUAAUGCGGUUGGGGAAGAUAGAAUUCCUGGUGUAGCGGUGGAAUGCGCAGAGAUCAGGAGGAAUACCGAAGGCGAAGGCAGUCUUCCAAGCCGUUAUUGACGCUCAACUGCGAAGGUGUGGGUAUCAAACAGGAUUAGAUACCCGGGUAGUCCCUGAG
rnacentral:rRNA from 1 species